CCUACGGGGUGCAGCAGUGGGGAAUAUUGCGCAAUGGGCGAAAGCCUGACGCAGCGACGCCGCGUGAGGGAUGAAGGUCUUCGGAUCGUAAACCUCUGUCAGCAGGGAAGAACGGUCACUGUGCUAAUCAGCAGUGAAUUGACGGUACCUGCAAAGGAAGCACCGGCUAACUCCGUGCCAGCAGCCGCGGUAAUACGGAGGGUGCGAGCGUUAAUCGGAAUUACUGGGCGUAAAGCGCUCGUAGGCGGUCUGUCAAGUCAAGUGUGAAAUCCCCGCGCUCAACGUGGGAACUGCCUUUGAAACUUGCAAACUGGAGUGUGUGAGAGGAGAGUGGAAUUCCAGGUGUAGGAGUGAAAUCCGUAGAUAUCUGGAGGAACAUCAGUGGCGAAGGCGACUAUCUGGAACAUAACUGACGCUGAGGAGCGAAAGCGUGGGUAGCAAACAGGAUUAGAUACCCGUGUAGUC
rnacentral:rRNA from 1 species